GUGCUCGCUUUGGCAGCGCAUAUACUAAAAUUGGAAUGAUACAGAGAAGAUUAGCAUGGCCCCUGCUCAAGGAUGACACUCAAAUUCGUGAAGCAUUCCAUAUUUUU
rnacentral:snRNA from 1 species